rnacentral:rRNA from 1 species
UCGAUUUGGAGUUUGUUGCCCUGAGUGAUGGGCUCCGAAGCUAACGCGAUAAAUCGACCGCCUGGGGAGUACGGCCGCAAGGUUAAAACUCAAAUGAAUUGACGGGGGCCCGCACAAGCGGUGGAGCAUGUGGUUUAAUUCGAUGCAACGCGAAGAACCUUACCUGGUCUUGACAUCCACAGAAUCUUGCAGAGAUGCGAGAGUGCCUUCGGGAACUGUGAGACAGGUGCUGCAUGGCUGUCGUCAGCUCGUGUUGUGAAAUGUUGGGUUAAGUCCCGCAACGAGCGCAACCCUUAUCCUUUGUUGCCAUCGGUUAGGCCGGGAACUCAAAGGAGACUGCCGUUGAUAAAGCGGAGGAAGGUGGGGACGACGUCAAGUCAUCAUGGCCCUUACGACCAGGGCUACACACGUGCUACAAUGGCGUAUACAAAGGGAGGCGACCUCGCGAGAGCAAGCGGACCUCAUAAAGUACGUCUAAGUCCGGAUUGGAGUCUGCAACUCGACUCCAUGAAGUCGGAAUCGCUAGUAAUCGUGAAUCAGAAUGUCACGGUGAAUACGUUCCCGGGCCU